GAGAAACGUUUGCGCCGAUUGACUAAGGGUUCCUGGGUCAAGCUGAUCUGCCCAGGGUAAGUCGGGACCUAAGGCGAGGCCGACAGGCGUAGUCGAUGGAUAACCGGUUGAUAUUCCGGUACCCGCUCUGAAGCGUCAAACAUCGAGCAUCGUGAUGCUAAGGCCGUGAAGCCGCCCUGAUCUCUUCGGAGUUGAGGGGAGUGGUGGAGCCGCUGAACCAAGCGGUUAGUAGGUGAGUGAUGGGGUGACGCAGGAAGGUAGUCCAUCCCGGGCGGUGGUUGUCCCGGGGUAAGGGUGUAGGCCGUGCGGUAGGUAAAUCCGUC
rnacentral:rRNA from 1 species